GUGAAGGCAGCUGCACUUUUCACAAGCAGCUUCUCUCCACCGACCACAGUGCAUGAUGGGAAACUCUCUGCUCUCCACUAAUCUAAUCAAGUUGAAUCCAAACUUUUCUUUAUGUUUCACUGUAAAGAUGAUUUGAUUAGACUUAUUGAAGGAUUAUUAUCUUCAUAAAUACAAAGUGACUAAAAGUCUCUCAGCUGAUUGAGUCUGUCACGAGUUGAGCUGAUGAAGUUACAAACAGAUACUUCCUCAUGUCAAACAUUUAGUGUUCAGGAGACACACAGGGGGACAGCUCUCGUCUUCAAACACCUCAGUGUGACUCCAUCCACAGCCAGUGUAACUCAGGACGUCUAGCAGGCAGAGGAACACAGUAACAUCACACUGACAUGGCGCUUCCCUGUCAAGACUGCCGUGUCUGUUGACUCACUAUACAUAGACAUUAUGUAUGGGGAGCCACUGAGGACAAUUUACCUUUAUGACACUGACUUUGAGGCUGCGCUGUAUCAAGAUGAGCUCUACAGGGGACGAGUUCAGUGUGAUCUAGAGCUCGCCAAGAAGGGACGGAUUGAAUGUGUCCUCACUGGUCUGAGGCUCAGCGACACAGGCAUCUAUACUUUUAUCAUUGGUGUUAACAGUGAUAGUCACACCAAGACAUGUGACCUCAGUGUUACAGCUGCCAGCCAUCAACCUGUAAAUGAGACAUCAAGACCAGCAGGCCGAGGAAGGAUCGGGCUCUAUGGAGGUAGUGGUUUAUUUACAGUCGUGACAACAGCACUUGUAGCCUGCAGUUUUGCACAAGUGGCUGAUGCAUCAGCUUUUCAAAUCAGAUCUUUACCCAGAUAAGAAAAGAAGUCUGAUGACUAUUUUAAUGAUUCAAAUACCUCGUGUGUUGAAAUGUUAAUAUUUAACAUCCUUUCUCUUGUUUCUUUUCAAGUUUUGUUUACUACCUCCAGAUUAUGCUCAUGUAAUGUCAGUGUUAAAGCCAUCCUUUCUUUUGUUUUAAAGUUUGGUUUACUACCUCCUAAUCCCAAGAUUAUGCUAAUGUAAUGUUAGCGUUAAAGCCAUCCUUUCUUGAAAUUUUUACAAUUUGGUCUGACUACCUCAAAUGACCAAAUGCUAUGUUACAGUAAUUCAGUAGUCUUUUACGAAUCACUACUCAUAUACCUCUCUCUGUCAUGAGGCUGCUGUUACUGUUAUGAAUGAACCGUUUACAUACAGUCUCUUUCAAAAUAAGCUGUGUUUGUUGGACCCAUCCACCACCCCUCCUGCCCGCCCCAGUUGGACUUUCGUGGCCUUCACUUUCAUCCUUGCCCCACCGUGUUUCCCCCUGAUGCCACUGGGCGCUAUUAAACUAUAACGGCAACUGUGUCAAGCCAACGUUAAAGGACGCCUUAUGUCAUUGGUUUCAGACGCCGUUAGUCACUGCCCAAGCGUCAGAUUUUGAGGAGUAUGGUCCUUAUUUUUAUUUCCUUGCUCUGCAGUUCAUAUUCAGCCUCUUAGAGUGUCCUUUAUAUUGUUGGUUUUAUGAUGUGUGUCUUGGCUGCUUUAAUGUUGCAUUUCCCAUUCAUGAACUUCAUCUGUCUAUCCAUCAUGUCAUUAUGCUGCCUGACACAGUACACACACGUGCACAGGAAGUACUUGUACAGCACAUUUUAU